GAUCUUAGUUAGGACGCUAGCGGCGGAUGGGUGAGUAACACGUGGGCAAUCUGCCCUAAAGACUGGGAUACCACUUGGAAACAGGUGCUAAUACCGGAUAACAACAUGAAUCGCAUGAUUCAAGUUUGAAAGGCGGCGCAAGCUGUCACUUUAGGAUGAGCCCGCGGCGCAUUAGCUAGUUGGUGGGGUAAAGGCCUACCAAGGCAAUGAUGCGUAGCCAAGUUGAGAGACUGAUCGGCCACAUUGGGACUGAGACACGGCCCAAACUCCUACGGGAGGCAGCAGUAGGGAAUCUUCCACAAUGGACGCAAGUCUGAUGGAGCAACGCCGCGUGAGUGAAGAAGGUCUUCGGAUCGUAAAGCUCUGUUGUUGGUGAAGAAGGAUAGAGGCAGUAACUGGUCUUUAUUUGACGGUAAUCAACCAGAAAGUCACGGCUAACUACGUGCCAGCAGCCGCGGUAAUACGUAGGUGGCAAGCGUUGUCCGGAUUUAUUGGGCGUAAAGCGAGCGCAGGCGGAAUGAUAAGUCUGAUGUGAAAGCCCACGGCUCAACCGUGGAACUGCAUCGGAAACUGUCAUUCUUGAGUGCAGAAGAGGAGAGUGGAACUCCAUGUGUAGCGGUGGAAUGCGUAGAUAUAUGGAAGAACACCAGUGGCGAAGGCGGCUCUCUGGUCUGCAACUGACGCUGAGGCUCGAAAGCAUGGGUAGCGAACAGGAUUAGAUACCCUGGUAGUCCAUGCCGUAAACGAUGAGCGCUAGGUGUUGGGGACUUUCCGGUCCUCAGUGCCGCAGCAAACGCAUUAAGCGCUCCGCCUGGGGAGUACGACCGCAAGGUUGAAACUCAAAGGAAUUGACGGGGGCCCGCACAAGCGGUGGAGCAUGUGGUUUAAUUCGAAGCAACGCGAAGAACCUUACCAGGUCUUGACAUCCUGCGCUACACUAGAAAAUAGGUGGUUCCCUUCGGGGACGCAAAGACAGGUGGUGCAUGGCUGUCGUCACCUCCUGUCGUGAAGAAGUUUGGGGUUAAGUCCCGCAACGAGCGCAACCCUUGUCUUUAGUUGCCAUCAUUAAAUUGGGGACUCUAAAGAGAAUGGCGGUGACAACCCGAGGAAAAGGGGGGGGGGGGGAUGGUCUUUUUCA
rnacentral:rRNA from 1 species